GAAGUGAUGACAACAACCGACUGGAGUCUCUGAGCUUCACUGAAUGACAGCAAUCGUGUUGGAGAAUACUCUUCUUUCCCCGGCUGACGGCGU
rnacentral:snoRNA from 1 species